GGUGCAUAUAUAUAUUCAGUUAAAUGACUAAAAUGGAUCUUCAUCUUGUUAUUCUUCUUCAUCUUAACAAUUCUUAUCUUCAGGAGAACAUGGAUCUCUCAAACCUCAACUACACUCCACGUGCAGAAGAUGGGGAUGAAAUGGAUGAAGAUGCAUGAAACGAAAUGGAAGGAGAUAUAGGAGAUGAAAUGGAAGGAGAUGAAAUAGUGGAAGAUGCAGGUGUUGAGCAAGUUGCUAAAAGAUACAAAACCCUCAAUGACCAGAAAUAUUUGCUACUUAUGUAGCAUUGCAUACACUGUGUAUGUGCACUUGAGGAAUUUUUAAGAGAACUGAUACACAAGUCAUUGCAAUUUUUGUAGUAGUUGUGUGGAAUAUAAAAAGAAUUUGGAGGA